rnacentral:rRNA from 1 species
GUCCUUUAGUAUAUAAUUUAAGGUCUAAUCUGCCCUAUGAUUAUUUAAAUGGCCGCAGUAAUUUGACUGUGCAAAGGUAGCAUAAUCAUUAGUUUUUUAAUUGAAAGCUUGUAUGAAUGAUUGGACGAAAUAAAUUCUGUCUUUGAUCAAUAAGUAGAACUUUAUUUUUAAGUUAAAAAGCUUAAAUAUUUAUAUUAGACGAGAAGACCCUAUAGAUCUUGAUAUUAAUGUUCAUUAAUUUUAUUUAGGAUUAUUUAAUAAUUUAUUGGCUUUUUUAUUUUAUUGGGGUAAUAUAAAGAUUUAAUUAAUUCUUUAUUAAAUUUUACAUAAAUAAGUGAUUAUUUUGAUCCUUUAUUAAAGAUUAUAAGAUUAAGUUACCUUAGGGAUAACAGCGUAAUUUUUUUAGAAAGUUCUUAUUGAUAAAAAAGUUUGCGACCUCGAUGUUGGAUUAAAAAUUAUUUUAGGUGUAGGAGCUUAAAAAUUUGGUCUGUUCGACCAUUAAAUUUUUACA